rnacentral:rRNA from 1 species
GGCCUUGCGCUCUUUGAGCGGCCGAUGUCAGAUUAGCUAGUUGGUGAGGUAAAGGCUUACCAAGGCGACGAUCUGUAGCGGGUCUGAGAGGAUGAUCCGCCACACUGGAACUGAGACACGGUCCAGACUCCUACGGGAGGCAGCAGUGGGGAAUUUUGGACAAUGGGGGCAACCCUGAUCCAGCCAUGCCGCGUGAGUGAAGAAGGCCUUCGGGUUGUAAAGCUCUUUCGGCCGGGAAGAAAUCGCAUGGGCCAAUACCCUGUGUGGAUGACGGUACCGGAAUAAGAAGCACCGGCUAACUACGUGCCAGCAGCCGCGGUAAUACGUAGGGUGCGAGCGUUAAUCGGAAUUACUGGGCGUAAAGCGUGCGCAGGCGGUUUUGUAAGACAGGCGUGAAAUCCCCGGGCUUAACCUGGGAACUGCGUUUGUGACUGCAAGGCUAGAGUACGGCAGAGGGGGGUGGAAUUCCACGUGUAGCAGUGAAAUGCGUAGAGAUGUGGAGGAACACCAAUGGCGAAGGCAGCCCCCUGAGUCGAUACUGACGCUCAUGCACGAAAGCGUGGGUAGCAAACAGGAUUAGAUACCCUGGUAGUCCACGCCCUAAACUAUGUCAACUAGGUGUUGGGUGGGUAAAACCAUUUAGUACCGUAGCUAACGCGUGAAGUUGACCGCCUGGGGAGUACGGCCGCAAGGUUAAAACUCAAAGGAAUUGACGGGGACCCGCACAAGCGGUGGAUGAUGUGGAUUAAUUCGAUGCAACGCGAAAAACCUUACCUACCCUUGACAUGCCAGGAACUUGCCAGAGAUGGCUUGGUGCCCGAAAGGGAGCCUGGACACAGGUGCUGCAUGGCUGUCGUCAGCUCGUGUCGUGAGAUGUUGGGUUAAGUCCCGCAACGAGCGCAACCCUUGUCGUUAAUUGCCAUCAUUUGGUUGGGCACUUUAACGAGACUGCCGGUGACAAACCGGAGGAAGGUGGGGAUGACGUCAAGUCCUCAUGGCCCUUAUGGGUAGGGCUUCACACGUCAUACAAUGGUCGGUACAAAGGGCUGCCAAGCCGCGAGGCGGAGCCAAUCCCAGAAAGCCGAUCGUAGUCCGGAUUGCAGGCUGCAACUCGCCUGCAUGAAGUCGGAAUCGCUAGUAAUCGUGGAUCAGCAUGUCACGGUGAAUACGUUCCCGGGUCUUGUACACACCGCCCGUCACACCAUGGGAGCGGGUUCCGCCAGAAGUAGGUAGCCUAACCGCAAGG